AACGCGAAGAACCUUACCUGGGUUUGACAUGCAAUUGACAACGUCAGAGAUGACGCGUUCUCGAAAGAGACAGUUGCACAGGUGCUGCAUGGCUGUCGUCAGCUCGUGCCGUGAGGUGUUGGGUUAAGUCCCGCAACGAGCGCAACCCUUGUCACUAGUUGCCAGCGCGUAAUGGCGGGCACUCUAGUGAGACUGCCUGGGUUAACCAGGAGGAAGGUGAGGAUGACGUCAAGUCCGCAUGGCCUUUAUGCCCAGGGCUACACACGUGCUGCAAUGGUCGGUACAGAAGGCAGCAAUACCGCAAGGUGGAGCAAAUCCUAAAAGCCGGCCCCAGUUCAGAUUGUAGUCUGCAACUCGACUACAUGAAGAUGGAAUUGCUAGUAAUGGCGAGUCAGCAACAUUGCCGUGAAUACGUUCCCGGGCCUUGUACACACCGGAGUGC
rnacentral:rRNA from 1 species